rnacentral:rRNA from 1 species
GGGUCUACCCAUUGGUCAGGCUUAAUUGUCUGUACUGGUGAGAUGGAUCUCUACCUUCUGAGGAACUUUCAUGUCAUUUAUUUGGUGUGAUGGGAAAUCAGGACUGUUACUUUGAAAAAAUUAGAGUGUUUAAAGCAGACUAUCGUCUGAAUACAUUAGCAUGGAAUAAUGAAAUAGGACGGACUGAUUCUAUUUUGUUGGUUUCUAGGAUCACCGUAAUGAUUAAUAGGGAUAGUUGGG